GACGAACUGUGCAAACGUUAUUCGGAAUCACUGGGCUUGAAGAGUGCGUAGGCGGUUUCGUAAGUAGGGUGUGAAAGCCCUCGGCUCAACCGGGGAAUUGCGUCCUAAACUGCGAGGCUAGAGUGAGGUAGGGGUGUGCGGAACUUCCAGUGGAGCGGUGAAAUGUGUUGAUAUUGGAAGGAACGCCGGUGGCGAAAGCGGCACACUGGACCUUGUCUGACGCUGAGGCACGAAAGCCAGGGGAGCAAAC
rnacentral:rRNA from 1 species